UGCCCCAGCCGGGAGCGGGCACCAGUCCCGCCUGCCCGCGCUGGGACUCGCCCUGAGAGGCGUUUCCUGGGGGCGGCGGCCUCUUCCCCCGCCCUUGGCCGGUGCUAUCGCACCUGAGGCGGGCGGCUCUGGCGGUGCAAGCUCCGAUCAGGCGACCAGCCUCCCUCGGGGAGGGGGAAGCGGAGGCGCCGCUCGCAAAAUUGUAGCCGGGAAAGCAGCAGCAGCAGCGGCGGCAGCGCUUGGGAACUUUUCUACGGGGUGUUCGCAACUUGUCUGAAAUUCGGCUGGGGCUCGGGGGCGGGUGGGCUCCUCGGAUCCCCCUCUCUGGUCUGGGCUGCCGGUGGCCCGGGCUGCUUCAUUGCAGCCCCGCCGAGCAGAGCAGCGAGGGCGAACCCCAGAGGUAGGAGCAACCUGUCUGCUGGGUCUCACCUGUUGUGUUUUGGUUCCAGCCUGCCCCACGCUGUAACAAACUACGCGCCAGUGCUACUGAACAGGACGCAGCUGGAGUGAGAUCUGCAGCGACUGUUCCUCCAGAAGUACUGAAGAUAGGAUCCAGCUGCUGAGUGUGCAACUUCAGGAAUAACCUUUUUCCCACUCCAAACUACUAGCCACAGCAACUUGCUAUUUCACAUUACCAUAUGAAAAUCGCAUCCACUUCAUUGUGGAUACUUCUGUCACAGAUCAUAGAUGCAGAGAAUCUUCUCCUAAUGGCCAAGCAGUGUGGUGUUCCCUGGUUGAAUGUGCAUCUUACAUAAAUUAUAAUGGAUGCUGAAAUAGGAAGAAUUGGGCCCAACAAGGUCUGAUCCUGCAUCAUGGCUGCAUGCUGACCCAGCUGCUUGGUAUUUGAAAAGAGAAAGUACAAAUGAAGAAGGACUUAGCAAACUCAUCACCUAACAAGCAUCUGUAAAGAAGUUGUUCCACGACGCUUUCUGUUGGACCUGGCCGAUGAUCCUGA